GCCACCCAGGUACCCCUACCACAAUUAAACAGACAAACAAACAAAAAAAUCCUUUGGGGAUUCCCAGCUGGCUCGGUCGAUAAGCAUGUGACUCUUGAGCUCAGCGUCCUGAGCUCAGUCUCCACAUUGGGUGUGGAGCCUGCUGAAAAGUAAACAACUAAGGAAGUCCAUCUGUCCUUCGGUGUCCCUGCCACUGGAAAUUUCUCACUGGAAUUCAUGCCAGGCUGUGGCUCCUGCCAUCUUGUUUUGUGCCCCCACCCACUUCAUUUCAUUUCUCUGACCUUCCCUGCCUUCUCUCUCCUUGGGGUCCCUUUUCCCUAAGCUCCCGUUAUGACGCUGGUAAAGCCGUUGAGUCCCUCAUGUAUUUAUUUAACCACGUCCCUUCAACCAUGUCCCGGGCACCGCCCUCCCCUUCCUCGACCAAAGCGGCUCAUCAAGAUGUUUUCCUAAACAAAACUGUUCUCACCCUGCUAAAUGCAUCGAAAACAUGCCAUCUGCUGUAUACGCUGGUCUCCUGAGAAAUUGAGGAGUCCAAGCCCGCAGCUGAGACUCAGAGCUCCUCGCCACCAGCUGCCAGGCUGAAGCUAGACCCCGGGGUCCCAGGAGUGAAUUUGUCAGCGUAAAGGCCGCCUUGGGCAGCCUCUCGGCAGCCUGCCGACAGCCCCUUCCCGCGCCACUCCGUCUGCCUGGGCACCACGUAGAUCAAGCCUCAGAUGUGCGGGCCCGAGGAGAAAACGGAGGAUGGCAGCGAGGACCGCUCGCCAAGCCGAGAUGAGAAAACUUAAACACGGAAAGAAAACGUCUGAGCUGGGGUCUGAACCACCGAGCUUAGCCAAGCGUGGGUCCGGAAUCUGGUCUCCUAACCACCACUCCAUGCUGCCACCACUAUAGGGCUCCGCUCCCUUGAAAAAGUCCACCUGCUAUAGCUAUCCUCUGUUUGACACAAGAGAAACUGAAGAACGGGAGAAAUAAAGAACUGUAAUAGAACACUGCCAAAGGGGACGAUCAAAAGGAACCUCGAGCUCCUUUCAGAGCCAGAGGAGGAAAGAAAGAGGGAGCCAGCUGCCACAGGAGCCGAGGGAGGGACGCUGGCGGGGGCCACAGGGGAAGACGGAAGCGCUCCGGGUCGCUGGCCCUGUGCCUCUCGGACGUGGCAGAGAAGAGUGCACGCGUGACAGGGAGAAGCCAGCUCUGAGCCCGUGCAAGGUGGCUUGCGAGUGUGCAAAUGAGCUCCUGGCUACUUAAAAUAAAGUCCUUUGGUCUGGACCAAUUAUAUCCCAGCUGCUGAGAAGUAGAUGCCGAGUCACUGCCCGUGGUCUUUGGAAACUUGCGGUGGAAACAAGCUGGAAGGUGGACGAGGGUCAAAAGGCCAUUCUCGUUUCUUUGAAGGGGAAGGACGUGGAGACUUCAGACAUUGGGC